rnacentral:misc_RNA from 1 species
UGUGCCAACAAUAAAUAGUCAAGACGGUAAGCAAUCCAACAGAAAAAGGAAUUAAAAUGAGUUUCUGAAUAAUCAAUUAAGUAGAAAAUAAAAAGUACACAACAACAACUUUUAACAUCAUUGCUGGAAUUCAUAUUAUGAAUCAUUAUUUCUUUUCCAAAACUGAGAGAACUUUGCACACAAAGUUACAAUCAAUGUAAUGUGUACACUUGCAUUUAGGUAAAAAUCCAAGCAAGUAAUAGGGAGAACUAGGCAUUCUCAUUUACCAAUCUAAUCUACAUAUUCUCAUGCUGCAAUGAUAUGUACUUCAUACAAAAAAAUUAUGGACAAAUAUUGGUGUAAAAACAUUUUGAUUAUUGAGGAUGUUCAUUAAGUUUUUCCUCGAGUACUUGAAAAGUUUUGACAAGAAAAAGUGGGCAACAAAAUCAGCAUAUCAUACAUAUCAACAAAUUGUUCCUGGUACAGGCAAAGCUGAAACCUACCUAAUUCUAGCAAUGCUAUCGCUUACAAACAUUCUGCUUCAGGAGCAAAUCAAAUAGAAAUACAGGUGGAGCAAACAUAAAUCUAUUAAAGGAACAAAGUCUAAUCUGAUAUCUAGAAAAGGCGUGUUAUGGCAAUUUUUCAGUAAUACAAUAGCCAAUGUCAAACUCUCAAAAUAUUAAGACAGCACAUCAAAGGGACAUGUAAAACUUUCACAUGGAUGUCAAUGCAUGUAGCAAAUCCCUAAAGAUAGAAAUAAGACCUGUCCAAGAAAGCACAGGCCUUAUCUUUAAUCAUUUGAGCUGUGCACAAAUAAGCUAGAUAGCAUUUUAACACCAUUUUAAAUUCAAAUCGCAUCACAACAAUAUGAUCAUUAACAUCAUUAUACGGGCUUAGCCACCCGACUACGAUAAGAAAAUAUAUUAAUCAAGUGGUAACUAUUAGUAACACCAAUGCCUCAAAACCUGUAUUCUAGUCCAGCUAAGUUUGCAGCAUUUUAAAACUCAGUGAAAUUCCAUUUCACAAGGGCAAGUGGUAUCAUCUAUUACAUUAAAG